CAAAGACAGAGUGGAAUCCGGUGCCCUCACCUCCUUUUAAAUCCUGGUUCUCAGAGAAAGGACUCAGGAACCUGCGCAAGGGACCCAGUGGCCUGGCUGAUGAGAUCAAUUUCGAGGACUUCCUGACCAUCAUGUCCUACUUCCGGCCCAUCGACACCACCAUGGACGAGGAACAGGUGGAGCUGUCCCGGAAGGAGAAGCUGAGAUUUCUGUUCCACAUGUACGACUCGGACAGCGACGGCCGCAUCACUCUGGAAGAAUAUCGAAAUGUGGUCGAGGAGCUGCUGUCGGGAAACCCUCACAUCGAGAAGGAGUCCGCUCGCUCCAUCGCCGACGGGGCCAUGAUGGAGGCGGCCAGCGUGUGCAU
rnacentral:sRNA from 1 species